GAUGAACGCUAGCGACAGGCCUAACACAUGCAAGUCGAGGGGCAUCGGGGUGUAGCAAUACGCUGCCGGCGACCGGCGGAUGGGUGAGUAACGCGUAUGCAACCUGCCUUCAGCAGGGGGAUAGCCCGUUGAAAAGACGGAUUAAUACCCCGUAACACAGGGGCUCCGCAUGGAGAUUAUUGUUAAAGGGAUGCUUCCUUCGGGGAGUAUUCUGGCUGAAGAUGGGCAUGCGUUCCAUUAGGUAGUUGGUUGAGGUAACGGCUCACCAAGCCUGCGAUGGAUAGGGGAACUGAGAGGUUGGGUCCCCCACACUGGUACUGAGACACGGACCAGACUCCUACGGGAGGCAGCAGUGAGGAAUCUUGGUCAAUGGACGGAAGUCUGAACCAGCCAUGUCGCGUGAAGGAGGACGGCCCUAAGGGUUGUAAACUUCUUUUGCAGGGGAAUAAAGUAUUCCACGAGAUGGGAUAUUGCAAGUACGCUGCGAAUAAGGAUCGGCUAACUCCGUG
rnacentral:rRNA from 1 species